rnacentral:rRNA from 1 species
UACGUAGGGUGCAAGCGUUAAUCGGAAUUACUGGGCGUAAAGCGUGCGCAGGCGGUUUGUAAGCAGAGUGUGAAAUCCCCGGGCUUAACCUGGGAAUGGCAUUUGGGACUGCAAGGCUGGAGUGCGGCAGAGGAGACGUGGAAUUCCUGGUGUAGCAGUGAAAUGCGUAGAUAUCAGGAGGAAUACCGAUGGCGAAGGCAGGUCUCUGGGCUGACACUGACGCUCAUGCACGAA